GAUGAACGCUGGCGGCGUGCCUAACACAUGCAAGUCGAGCGGCAGCGCGGGGUGCUUGCACCCUGUCGGCGAGCGGCGGACGGCUGAGUAACGCGUGGGAACGUGCCCCAAAGUGAGGAAUAACUGCCCGAAAGGGUAGCUAAUACCGCAUAUUAUCUUCGGAUCAAAGGAUUUAUCCGCUUUGGGAGCGGCUCGCGUCGGAUUAGGUAGUUGGUGAGGUAAUGGCUCACCAAGCCGACGAUCCGUAGCUGGUCUGAGAGGAUGACCAGCCAGACUGGAACUGAGACACGGUCCAGACUCCUACGGGAGGCAGCAGUGAGGAAUCUUCCACAAUGGGCGAAAGCCUGAUGGGGCAACGCCGCGUGCAGGACGAAGGCCUUCGGGUUGUAAACUGCUUUUAUAAGUGAGGAAUAUGACGGUAACUUAUGAAUAAGGAUCGGCUAACUACGUG
rnacentral:rRNA from 1 species